CUUAACGGGGUGCUGCGGGCACGGUUACCGUGCAGCGCGGCUGAGAAAAUACCCGACGAACCUGAUGCGGAUAAUGCCGACGCAGGGAGAAU
rnacentral:ncRNA from 2 species